rnacentral:rRNA from 1 species
UACGAAGGGGACUAGCGUUGUUCGGAAUUACUGGGCGUAAAGCGCACGUAGGCGGAUUUGUAAGUCAGGGGUGAAAUCCCGGAGCUCAACUUCGGAAUUGCCUUUGAUACUGUCUAUCUUCGAGUUCGGGAGAGGUUGGCGGAAUUCCUAGUGUAGAGGUGAAAUUCGUAGAUAUUAGGAAGAACACCAGUGGCGAAGGCGGCCAACUGGCCCGAUACUGACGCUCAUGUGCGAAAGCGUGGGGAAGCAAACAGGG